rnacentral:rRNA from 1 species
CACUACUCAAACGACUCUCGGCAACGGAUAUCUCGGCUCUUGCAUCGAUGAAGAACGUAGCGAAAUGCGAUACUUGGUGUGAAUUGCAGAAUCCCGUGAACCAUCGAGUUUUUGAACGCAAGUUGCGCCCGACACCUUUAGGUUGAGGGCACGUCUGCCUGGGCGUCACACACA